UGUUUUCAAAUGUUUUUUUUUUUCCUUUUUUUUUUCAAAUCCUUUAUUUCAUCUUUGACAUAUACAUAGUCAAAAACAUUAAGGGGAUAACAAGACCAAAAGAAGGUUACACAAUCUGUAGAAAUCCUCCACUUGCUGCUUCAAUGCAAAGACAGAUAUCAUCACAUCCUCAAAAGAGAGGGUUUCAUUGACGACUACCCUGGGUAGGUCUUUAUAUUCAUCUGAUGAAGAGACAGACUGGAAUCUCUGUUGAGAAUAUAUACAGGGAAAGGAAAUCAAACAAAAGUUACUCACCACCACCCUGCCUACAUCAGUGACGUUACCUUGAGGAAGUUGAUGUGAUCCUCAGUGUGUGGAAGGAGGUCUAGUUCUGCAUCUCUCCUCUUCAGUUCAGCAAUCCUCUGCUCCAGCUGCUUCACCAGUUCUUCAGCCUGAGUCACCUCAGUCUUCUCCUGAGCUUCAAUGAGCCGUUUCACCUCAGAGCGCCUUCGCUCGAUGCACUCGAUCAUCUCCGUAAACAUCCUCUCACAGUCUCCCAUUGCUGCCUGUGCAGAGCUCUGCUUGGACACACACCCAGACAAAAGGGUCCAUUUGAAGCAGUUCAGUCAGUCAAACUUUGCUGGAAGUUCACUGCCAGUCGCCAACAAUUAAUCAGAGAACAGGCCUUGGAGAGAAACACUGUCGGCACUGGGGGCAGCUGAAAAUUCCUUUCUUAUCUUCCUGAUUCCAGCAGUCGUUAAUGCAGCCCAUACAGUAACUGUGUCCACAGGCAAUAGUCACCGGCUCCUUCAGUAGAUCCAGACAGACGGGGCAAGUGAACAAUUCAUGGUCUUUUGCUGAACCUUCUGCCAUUUUCCAACUAUAACUCACCAGCACACGCAGAGAGAACCUAAAAUAUGGCUUCCUGGUUCUAGGAAGUACGGAAAGGAUGUGGUCAUUGCUGAUUGGUUGUCAUUGAAAGUGAAACUAUCAAACAGUAUGUGGCACAAAUACCAGCCUGUUUUAGUGGAUAGGGUCUUGUAAAAUGUGUACUCAUGUGCAAAAAUGAAAUAACAUUUCAUAAGCACUUACAGUCAUGAUUUAUUGUCUAAGGUACAUUUACAUUUUACUGAUCUUUGAUAUUUAAUAAUCAAUCGAGUUAGCAUUAGUGUUUAGUUCAGUACAUCUUCAUGACCAGGAGGAGGCGACAUUCUCAUUAUGUACUGGGUAAAAUGAAUGAACAGAGUAGAGAAUUAUAAUCAUUGCCUUAAGUUAUAAGUUAAACUUCUAUUUAAUGUCCUCAUAAACUGACGUGCUAUGUCCUUAUGUUUGGGGGUAAUGCAUACAAAUCCAUUUGAUCAAUAGAGGAAUAGAAUAAGAUUGGGGUGAAAUUCUCAUCUCUUACUCAGCCUCUAUAAUCAAUUCUAAUAUUGUUGUCAGUUUUAUGGAAUAUGUAAAUAAACUGUAAA